GUGCUCGCUUCGGCAGCACGCACACUGAAACUGGAACGGUGCAGAGAAGGUUAGUGUGGUCCUCAUGCAAGGGUGACACAUAAAAGUUAGAAAACAAUAGGAAAUUA
ensembl:snRNA U6 U6 spliceosomal RNA